CCUACGGGAGGCAGCAGUCGAGAAUUUUUCACAAUGGGCGAAAGCCUGAUGGAGCGACGCCGCGUGGAGGAUGAAGGUUUUCGGACUGUAAACUCCUGUCACUGCAGAACAAGGGCGCACGGUUGAACAUUCCGUGCGUUUGAUGGUAUGCGGAGAGGAAGGGACGGCUAACUCUGUGCCAGCAGCCGCGGUAAU
rnacentral:rRNA from 1 species